CAAUAGCGUAUAUUAAAGUUGUUGCAGUUAAAAGCUCGUAGUUGGAUUUCGGAGUGGGCCAGUUGGUCCGCCGCAAGGUGUGUUACUGACUGGUUUGCUCUUCUUCGCAAAGACUGCGUGUGCUCUUGAGUGAGUGUGCGUAGAAUUUACGACGUUUACUUUGAAAAAUUAGAGUGUUCAAAGCAGGCUAUUGCUUGAAUACAUGAGCAUGGAAUAAUGGAAUAGGACUUUGGUCCCAUUUUGUUGGUUUGCGCACUGAGGUAAUGAUUAAGAGGGACAGUUGGGGGUAUUUGUAUUCCAUUGUCAGAGGUGAAAUUCUUGGAUUUUUGGAAGACAAACUACUGCGAAAGCAUUUACCAAGGAUGUUUUCAUUAAUCAAGAACGAAAGUUAGGGGAUCGAAGAUGAUCAGAUACCA
rnacentral:rRNA from 1 species